AUUGAACGCUGGCGGUAUGCUUAACACAUGCAAGUCGAACGGUAACAGGCCUUCGGGCGCUGACGAGUGGCGGACGGGUGAGUAACGCGUAGGAAUCUGCCUCAUAGUGGGGGACAACGUGGGGAAACUCACGCUAAUACCGCAUACGCCCUACGGGGAAAGCGGGGGAUCUUCGGACCUCGCGCUAUGAGAUGAGCCUGCGUUAGAUUAGCUAGUUGGUAGGGUAAAGGCCUACCAAGGCGACGAUCUAUAGCUGGUCUGAGAGGACGAUCAGCCACACUGGGACUGAGACACGGCCCAGACUCCUACGGGAGGCAGCAGUGGGGAAUAUUGGACAAUGGGCGCAAGCCUGAUCCAGCAAUGCCGCGUGGAUGAAG
rnacentral:rRNA from 1 species